ACCAGACUCCUACGGGAGGCAGCAGUGGGGAAUAUUGGGCAAUGGGCGCAAGCCUGACCCAGCAACGCCGCGUGAAGGAAGAAGGCUUUCGGGUUGUAAACUUCUUUUAAGAGGGAAGAGCAGAAGACGGUACCUCUUGAAUAAGCCGCGGCUAACUACGUGCCAGCAGCCGCGGUAAUACGUAGGUGGCAAGCGUUGUCCGGAUUUACUGGGUGUAAAGGGCGUGUAGCCGGGCUGACAAGUCAGAUGUGAAAUUCCGGGGCUCAACCCCGGACCUGCUUUUGAAACUGUUGGUCUUGAGUAUCGGAGAGGCAGGCGGAAUUCCUAGUGUAGCGGUGAAAUGCGUAGAUAUUAGGAGGAACACCAGGGGCGAGGGCGGCUUACUGGACUGUAACUGACGUUGAGGCUCGAAAGCGUGGGGGGCAAACAGGAUUAGAUACCCGAGUAA
rnacentral:rRNA from 1 species